AUUGAACGCUGGCGGCAGGCCUAACACAUGCAAGUCGAGCGAGCCGCGGCCGUGUGAGUAAUGCCUGGGAGUUGCCCUGUCGUGGGGGAAAACCGUUGGAAACGACUGAUAAUACCGCAACCGAUGGGUUCGCCCAUGGGGGAGUAGCUAGUUGGUGGGGUAAUGGCUCACCAAGGCGACGAUCCCUAGCUGGUCUGAGAGGAUGAUCAGCCACACUGGAACUGAGACACGGUCCAGACUCCUACGGGAGGCAGCAGUGGGGAAUAUGGCACAAUGGGGGAAACCCUGAUGCAGCCAGGCCGCGUGUAUGAAGAAGGCCUUCGGGUUGUAAAGCACUUUCAGCGGGGAGGCGUUACUCGCAGAAGAAGCACCGGCUAACUCCGUGCCAGCAGCCGCGGUAAUUC
rnacentral:rRNA from 1 species